CCCUUAGAUGUCCUGGGCCGCACGCGCGCUACACUGAACGGAUCAGCGCGUUUUCCCUUCCCGAGAGGGACGGGUAACCUGCUGAACCCCGUUCGUGGUAGGGAUCGGGGCUUGCAAUUAUUCCCCGUGAACCAGGAAUGCCCAGUAAGUGCAAGUCAUAAGCUUGCGUUGAUUACGUCCCUGCCCUUUGUACACACCGCCCGUCGCUACUACCGAUUGAACGUUUUAGUGAGGUACUCGGACUGAGCCUCAGAAGAUUCACGUCUUUUGUGCUGCUCGGGAAGAUUCCCAAACUUGAGCGUUUAGAGGAAGUAAAANUCGUAACA
rnacentral:rRNA from 1 species